rnacentral:pre_miRNA from 1 species
UUGUGCUUGAUCUAACCAUGUGCUGCCCCAAACAACAUGGUUUGUUCAUGCACCAGG